CGACACAUGGAAUGUAGACAUGCACCUUUCAAGAAGGCAACUUGGCUCAUGGAUAUGACAUGUAUCCGCGUAGCGGAUACCACUAAACAAGAGUCACGGAAAGCUGAGAUAGAAGAGCGAGACAGCGAUAAAAUGGGUUACUUGGAAAGAUAAUUGAUGGAAUUAAAGACGUUCGAUGGUAUUGGAGGCCUCUGCCCGGUAAUAUGGUCAUGGUCAUCCAGGCGAAUCACCCCAGGGCCUUAUUCUGUACCUGACUUAGCUUGACUCACACAACUUCAGUGGUUCUCUAUUAAUGGGCAUACGUCUGAAGGUAAUUUUUAUAAAUAAAAUAUAAUACAUUAUACAUUUGGUAAAAUUAACAUAAAAAUUUAGGAUAAAAAUUGUAAAGAUUUCUACGUACUAAAUGCGUUUUAAAUGACACGUAAGUAAAUUUACAAAUUGACAGCUUAAUCGUAUACGAGUGCUAUUAACAAUUAUAUAUUAGUCCUGUAAAAAAAAAGACGAAAGAAAAAUGUAAAUGAAAAGAAGAAGAUAAGAAAAAGAAGAAGAAAAAAAAGAAGAAGAAAAGAAAAAGGAGAAAAAGAACAGGAAGAAAAAGAAGAAAAGAAGAAGAAGAAGAAGAAAAGAAAAAAAGAUUUACAAACAUUACUGUCAAUGAAUAUAAUCUGAAUAACCGGCUGCCCUGACCUAGUUCCGAUCGUAACUCCUAUCUCCGGCAAAGAGAAUAAGAGACGGUGUCCUGAAGUAGUGAAAAUUGCCGCAGGGAAUCGCCGCCCUCCGAGAACCACAUGCGUAUUAACAAUAAAAGAGAGAGAGAGAGAGAGAGAGAGAGAGAGAGAGAGAGAGAGAGAGAAAGAGAGAGAAUCCGUAAUAUAUUACGUUGUCUUGACUAGCGUUUAUCAACUUCUGUAUUAUAUUUAUAAACUUUGCGCAUUUUUGAUAGAUAAUUACAAAAAAAUAGAGAAACAAAUUUGAAAAUUAAUCAAACGUUCGUAUAUUUUUAUAAGUAAAUAAACAAUCGCACAAAAGAAAAGUUUUAAAUAUUAAUGGUGGUAUGAUAUCACACGUUGCGUAUAAUAAUCAAACGAAUGAAUUAUUAGUGAUGAAUAUUUAAUAAACAAUGCAGAAAGUCUUAUUUUGUAAUCAAUAUGUAGAAUCGAUAAGCUUCGGGAUCGAAAGUUCAUGAUCUAACUAGUUUCAGUAGAGAUGGUCAACGACUCUGAUCACUGAACAGCGAGACUGCGUCUAUUUCUACCUGAUAGCGAUGGCGGAUAUUGUAUUAUGUUACGACGAGACAGAGGAGGUUGCGUAGCCAAUGAUGCGAGAUGGUGAAGUGCGAGGUCAUCUCCACGGACUCUCCUUCAACGAUUCAACUCGUGCACUUGUCUGCUAUAAAUGCAGACCUUGUUGAAUAAAAAGGACUGAGAAAAGAUACGCAAGGACAUACGUACGAGAGAGAAAAUUAAUUCUACUCGUAAAUGGUACUUCCGAGAAUUUCUAUUAAAUUUGCAAGAUGAUUUUCUUAUAUUUUAAUUUUCAGUAACAUCAAUUCCUCCACGAUUUACACAUGACGAUUAUUAUUCUUUUUUUUUUCUUUUUGAACGGAUCCUCGUAAACUAUAAUCUCGACGAAAAUACAUACGAAGAUAAAACAAUACAGAUCUGAAAUAAUUUUAUCGAAAGUUAACGAGUAAGUUUCAAACGAAACAAAGAAUCCACAUUUUAGUGCUUCGAUCCUUCGGAAUAAUUCUUACGUAAUAUACGAAGCCAUAUAUAAGAGAGACAACACAUAUCGAUGAGUCAAAUGCUUUUACGUAAAUGUUAAAGCCAAUUUUUGUAGUAUACUGCUCUUAUUUCACGAGUAUGUAGAUAUUCGACAUUCUUUUUAUUUAUUAAAAUAAUUCCAACGUGACAGAUCAUAAACCGUGACUCGAUUUAACUUUAUUGCUUUCCAAAUAUAUGACUUAUUAGGUAACAACAUGACUUAUUGAUCAUAAACACAAAACAUAAACGUGAUAAGUACGAAAAAGUAAAAACAUUUUGUAGGCUUCGUUAUAAAGAUUAUGAUAUUAAAUAUGGUAUUAUUCAAAUAACACGGACGUCACAACAUACAACAACAAUCGAUUACUCACGCAUUAAUGUAAAGAAGUAUCCAAUAAAGAAAAGCCGCUUGAUUUAAUUAUAUAAUAUGUAACAGAAUAAAUUUUAUUAAGAAGUUCAUAUUCUUAUGUUUUGUCGAACGUUAUACGUUAUAUUAUAAUGCAUAGAAAGUUAUAUGUAUCAGAAUAAUAGAGUGAAAAAGAAAAAAAAGGAGAAGGAAAGAAACCCAUAGUAAGAACCCUUUCGAUAGUGCUACGAUGAAUCUUAUGUAUCUCUGUCCUUUCUCACAGCUCAUAUGGGCAUACAUCGUACCGGCCGCACUUGACCUAUAUCUUAUUAUGCUGGUAGUGUCCGAAUGCAAUGCGCAAAGUGUUUGUGAAUAAGCCCAGGGGGCCCCUCUUCGAGGUUAUCAAGGUUCACCACCACCAUAAAAACAUCUUUCCUUCCUGCUGUCGUAUUCUCUUUCCUCUUGCUUCCGCAAGAUACGAAAAGAAUCACGACUCGAUAAUACUAAAGCCAAUAUACGAUUUUAUAAUUUUCAUACAUAUAUAUUGGAUAGAAAAUUAUUUUUAAUUAUAUCGUUUUCCGUGAUUUUUAUGCAAAACGUCUCUCUCUCUCUCUCUCUCUCUCUCUCUCUCUCUCUGUGCAAUGUUUAUAAAAAAUCUUUAUCUACACACAAAUCGUAUACAUACGUGUAUGUCUGUGCCUUCAUACAAAGAUAAAUGUGAAACUUUGAAAUCAUAUUUUUUGUCUUUUUUUUUCUUUCUUAGAAGAAGAAAAUUAUUCAACUAGAUAUAGAUAAAUCUUAAUUGGCAUGAUGUAUCCACGUGUCUAUCGAAGUCCGGUUAGACACCUUCGACUGCUACCAAGUCUUCCGUUCUUCGAUGUCAUUUAGGAAGGUCAUGACCUCAGGGUAGCUUUACCAUCGUAUAGACUACGAUUGC